rnacentral:rRNA from 1 species
UUAUGGUUCCUUAGAUCGUACCCACAUUUACUUGGAUAACUGUGGUAAUUCUAGAGCUAAUACAUGCAAACAGAGUUCCGACCGGAGACGGGAGGAAUGCUUUUAUUAGAUCAAAACCAAUCGGCGGCGGGCGCGUUCGCGCGUCCGUUCGCCGCUCAACUUGGUGACUCUGAAUAACUUUCGGCUGAUCGCACGGUCCAGCACCGGCGACGCAUCUUUCAAAUGUCUGCCUUAUCAACUGUCGAUGGUAGGUUCUGCGCCUACCAUGGUCGUAACGGGUAACGGGGAAUCAGGGUUCGAUUCCGGAGAGGGAGCCUGAGAAACGGCUACCACAUCCAAGGAAGGCAGCAGGCGCGCAAAUUACCCACUCCCGGCACGGGGAGGUAGUGACGAAAAAUAACGAUACGGGACUCAUCCGAGGCCCCGUAAUCGGAAUGAGUACACUUUAAAUCCUUUAACGAGGAUCAAUUGGAGGGCAAGUCUGGUGCCAGCAGCCGCGGUAAUUCCAGCUCCAAUAGCGUA